GGAGAGAAGGGAAGCUGCUGCGGGCUCGUCAGCAUAGAUACCCAUCACUGAUCAUCAUCACGUGGCUGUUUGAGGAUGUCAGAAAGGUCCUCGGGCGGCAGCAGCAGAGUUUGGAACCAGGCCCCAUCUGACAGCAGCUCAGGGCCGAACACGACACGGCAAACAAACCGCUGCUGUCAGUCUCAAUACUAAAUAAUGUUGGAAAUUUCUGCCGUGCGUUCCACAGGCAUCUGGCACGGUGCAGUAGCUCCAGAGAAGUGUUCAAUGAGGUCAGCAGAGCACUGAUGCUUUCGCUCUCACCAGAGUGCAGUGUGUUUCUGUGUCAUUCAGUUCACUUGACAACAUGAUUACGUCUGAGAGGAUUGUAACACCAGGCCAUGUGUGUGCAAAUCUCAAGCUGGACCCUAAAUGCACCAAGGCAUGUAAAUGUGUAUAUGAAUGCCCUGUGUCAGCCCCAAUUUUCAAAAGCCGAGUAAGUAAUGUAAUUAAAAGUUUCUCUGGAAGCCAGAAAGUCAUUAUAAGUGUCAGAGCUCCCUCUGUUGGAAAAGUGAAGGAACUCUUUCACUCUGUGUCAGAGGCUGGAGAGUAGUUAGUUAAACUCUAAACACACAAUACUUGGUUCUAACUGUUGAUUUCUUCAAGUUGCAUCUUUAACUAGUUAAACAUAACUGUGUGAUCACCAUCCAUAUUAAAAGUUGUUUAUCCUCCUUUAUCAAUUGUUAUUUUUAUUUAUCCAGACUUAUCAGCUUAUUAUUCAGCAUAUCAACAUAUUUAUUGAGUCGGGCUGAAGUUCAAGUAAAUGUUAAUCUUGGCUUGUUUUUUCUUGUUGUGUUUUGCAAAUCUCACAAAGUGCGAUGGGACUCAAACUGUGGAGUUUCAGAGGCUGAACAAACUAUGAAAUUCAUAAAAACAACAUUGAAUAGAAAAGC